AGUGAACGCUGGCGGUAGGCCUAACACAUGCAAGUCGAACGGCAGCACAGUAAGAGCUUGCUCUUACGGGUGGCGAGUGGCGGACGGGUGAGGAAUACAUCGGAAUCUACUUUUUCGUGGGGGAUAACGUAGGGAAACUUACGCUAAUACCGCAUACGACCUACGGGUGAAAGCAGGGGAUCUUCGGACCUUGCGCGAUUGAAUGCGCCGAUGUCGGAUUAGCUAGUUGGCGGGGUAAAGGCCCACCAAGGCGACGAUCCGUAGCUGGUCUGAGAGGAUGAUCAGCCACACUGGAACUGAGACACGGUCCAGACUCCUACGGGAGGCAGCAGUGGGGAAUAUUGGACAAUGGGCGCAAGCCUGAUCCAGCCAUACCGCGUGGGUGAAGAAGGCCUUCGGGUUGUAAAGCCCUUUUGUUGGGAAAGAAAAGCAGCAGGUUAAUACCCCGCUGUUCUGAAGGUACCCAAAGAAUAAGCACCGGCUAACUUCGUG
rnacentral:rRNA from 1 species